CGGGUGCUCUUCCCAUCCUUGCAAUAAUGUGGAGCGACAGGAAUUCUCCUUCAUGGCUGGUGGAAAUGCAAAACGGUCCAGUCACCCUGGAAGACAGUUUUGACAGUUUCCUACAAAGCUAAACAUACUCUUAACAUAGAACACAGCCAUCGCAUUCCUUGGAAUUUACUCGAAGGGCUUGAAAACUUAUGUCCAACACAAAUCUGCACAUGGAUGUUUGUGCAGCUUUAUUAAUAACUGUCCAAACUUGGAAGAAACCAGGAUGUUCUUCAAUAGUUGAGUGGAUAAAUAAACUGGUAAUCCAGACCGUGAGAUAUGAUUUAGUACAAAAAAGAGAGGAACUAUCAAGCCAUGAAAAGACACGAAAGACUCUUAUGCAUAUUACUAAGUGAAAGAAGCCUGUCUGAAAGGCUCCAUACUGUCUGAUUCCAGCUACAUGACAUUUUGGAGAAGGCAAAACCAUAAAAGGUUAACAUAAAACAGUAAAAGGAUCAGUGGUUGGUUGCCAACAGUUGUGGGGAGGGAGGGGUGAGUAGGAGGAGCACAGAGGAUCUUUAGAGGAGAGAAGCUGUUCUGUAGGACCCGACGAUGCUAGAUACAUGUCCUUGUGCACUUUCAAAACCCGUAGCAUGUACAACACCAAAAGUGAACCCUAAUGUAAACUAUGGGCUUUGGGUGAUCCUAGUUUGCCAGGGGAGGUUCAUCAGUUAGAACAAAUGCAUCCCCCCGGGGGGUGGGUGCUGAUAGUGAGGAAAGCUGUGUUGUGUGUGUUUUCAAAUGACUUACAGUUAAUCAUUGAAAGCAAACUAAAUGGAACACUUACUAAUAGAGAAGAAUUACAUGUCAGAGCCUUUUGCAAACUGAGCUGGGACAGAAAGGGACUGAGGCUGCCCCCCUGUGUGUGGGGUGGGGGCAGGGGGUAUGCA